GACAGAGGGGGCAAGCGUUGCUCGGAAUUACUGGGCGUAAAGGGCGCGUAGGCGGGAUGGCAAGUCGGUCGUGAAAUCCCUCGGCUCAACCGAGGAACGUCGAUCGAUACUGCUGUUCUUGAGGAUUGCAGAGGAGACGUGGAAUUCCCGGAUGUAGCGGUGAAAUGCGCAGAUAUCAGGAGGAACACCGGUGGCGAAGGCGGGUCUCUGGGCCGAUAACUGACGCUGGAGGAGCGGAAAGCGUGGGUAGCAAACAGG
rnacentral:rRNA from 1 species